UACGAAGGGGGCUAGCGUUGCUCGGAAUUACUGGGCGUAAAGCGCACGUAGGCGGCUUUCUAAGUCGGGGGUGAAACCCUGGAGCUCAACUCCAGAACUGCCUUCGAUACUGGAGAGCUCGAGUCCGGGAGAGGUGAGUGGAACUGCGAAGUGUAGAGGUGAAAUUCGUAGAAUAUUCGCAAGAACACCAGUGGCGAAAGGCGGCUCACUGGCCCGGUACUGACGCUGAGGUGCGAAAGCGUGGGGAGCAAACAGG
rnacentral:rRNA from 1 species